rnacentral:rRNA from 1 species
UACGUAGGGGGCAAGCGUUAUCCGGAUUUACUGGGUGUAAAGGGAGCGUAGACGGCAGGGCAAGUCUGGAGUGAAAGCCCGGGGCCCAACCCCGGGACUGCUUUGGGAACUGCCCCGCUCGAGUGCCGGAGGGGUAGGCGGAAUUCCUAGUGUAGCGGUGAAAUGCGUAGAUAUUAGGAGGAACACCAGUGGCGAAGGCGGCCUGCUGGACGGUGUACUGACGCUGAGGCUCGAAAGCGUGGGGAGCAAACAGG